rnacentral:rRNA from 1 species
CUUACACAUGCAAGUCGUACNNAUGAAGACACAGCUUGCUGGGUGGAUCAGUGGCGAACGGGUGAGUAACACGUGAGCAACCUGCCCUCCACUUCGGGAUAAGCCUUGGAAACGGGGUCUAAUACCGGAUAUGAGCAUCUGCCGCAUGGUGGGUGUUGGAAAGUUUUUCGGUGGGGGAUGGGCUCGCGGCCUAUCAGCUUGUUGGUGGGGUGAUGGCCUACCAAGGCGUCGACGGGUAGCCGGCCUGAGAGGGCGACCGGCCACACUGGGACUGAGACACGGCCCAGACUCCUACGGGAGGCAGCAGUGGGGAAUAUUGCACAAUGGGCGAAAGCCUGAUGCAGCGACGCCGCGUGAGGGAUGACGGCCUUCGGGUUGUAAACCUCUUUCAGCAGGGAAGAAGGCCUUCGGGUGGACGGUACCUGCAGAAGAAGCGCCGGCUAACUACGUGCCAGCAGCCGCGGUAAUACGUAGGGCGCAAGCGUUGUCCGGAAUUAUUGGGCGUAAAGAGCUCGUAGGCGGUCUGUCGCGUCUGGUGUGAAAACCCGAGGCUCAACCUCGGGCUUGCAUCGGGUACGGGCAGACUAGAGUGCGGUAGGGGAGACUGGAAUUCCUGGUGUAGCGGUGGAAUGCGCAGAUAUCAGGAGGAACACCGAUGGCGAAGGCAGGUCUCUGGGCCGCAACUGACGCUGAGGAGCGAAAGCAUGGGGAGCGAACAGGAUUAGAUACCCUGGUAGUCCAUGCCGUAAACGUUGGGCACUAGGUGUGGGGCUCAUUCCACGAGUUCCGUGCCGCAGCUAACGCAUUAAGUGCCCCGCCUGGGGAGUACGGCCGCAAGGCUAAAACUCAAAGGAAUUGACGGGGGCCCGCACAAGCGGCGGAGCAUGCGGAUUAAUUCGAUGCAACGCGAGA